rnacentral:lncRNA from 1 species
AUCCCCUGGCCCUGGCUGACUCGCCACCCCCGACACUGCAGCGCCUGCCGACCUCGGGGCCCCGCCCUCUGCCUUCGCUCGCGCCGCUCUCCUUCAGUCUCCCCAGGGCCUGUUUCAUGGAUAGGGUCCCCUUGCCCGCGUGAAAGUCUCAUUCCUCCUCAGCUCAGAAACACUCCAAGGUCUCGGCGCCCUAUACUGGCCUUCCCUCAUCCGAAUACCCCUCGUGCUCCUGAUGUACUUUUCCAUUCCCACUCCCUACUCUGGCAGUCUAGCUUCUAAGCUGAGGAGUUUGGCCUUCGCUCCAGGUGCGGGGACUCGUGGAAGGAUUUGAUUCGCGCUUGAGAAAGAUCGCUCCGCUCCUGUAAGGAAGAGAGCGUGUAGGGGCUGCAACCAGAGACACAGUCAGAAGCUCCGAGGCUACCGCGAUGGUCCAGGUGAGAAUGGAGGGGCCUAACUAAACCAGUGGCGGGAGGGAUGGAAGAAUGAACUGAGACACUUGGGAGGUGAAUGGAAUCGAGCGACUGCAUGUGGAGGUGUGAGUGGGAAGGUAUCUGAGAUGACUCCAGUUUCUGGCUUGGACAAUGACUUGGAUGGAGGGUUAGGUGGGGGCUGAGCAGAGUCCACGAACAGUUCUUAAUUUGCCUGAGUUUAAGGUGCCACAGGACACAGCCUAACAGAGGCCCAGGUUGGAGCCAUGGACCAUGGAGUCAUGAGAAUGGAAGGGAAGCUGACGCCAUGUGGGAUGGGGUAGAACUGUCCGCAAAUUCGUCCCGCCUCUGGAGUCUUCAGACCAGUCAAGGCCGAAAUUCAACCAAGCCUCUCCUCUCUCUAGCUGUUAUUUGUUUGCAGCACGCGGUCUGGUGGCACCCUGCAGGAUUUACCAGCUUUUUGCCAACAUUCUGGCCUAUGCAAUCAAUACGUCCCUUCAGCGUUGCACUUGGAUGGAUUGGACCUAUAGUUGUUAUAUAUGGAUAUUGUCUAAUUUAUUUAUUACAGUAUUAACUGACUCCUAUGUUCUGGCCUUCAGAAUUUCUCCUUUGGAUCAAUUACUAGCCUGUCUUACAUUUUCUGCUUCAUUCUUUUAAAAUGUUUAGAGAUGA